AAAAUCAGUGACAAAAUAAUAUAAACUUUACUACUGCAAAUCAAGGAUAUUAGAAAUCUGAAUAUUUCUUAAGAAUACAUCAAAGACAGAGUCAGAAUAAUAUUUUUAGAUUUUCAUUGAUGUGGUUAGAUUGUCGCUACUUCUCUACUUCGAAUACAACUGCCUCACUCUAACGGGAUUUCUUGGAGAAUCUGCUUAAAAUUUCCAUACGAUUCCCAGUCCGUGUCUAUAUAAGGCUUCAUGUUCCAAGUAUGCUUAAUGGUUUCUCCAUGCCGACGGGUUCAUCGUAUCAAGAGGUUUUAUUUUUGGUUGAUUCACGACAGACUUGUGAUUUUGGAGCCAGGAUUCGUAUCUCUCUCAGGGAUAUUGAGUUUCUACAGUGAAGAUAUGUAUCAAGAAAAAAUAUGUUAUCCUGCCAAUAAACAUAUUAGUCUCAGAGGUCAUGAGAAUGGAUCAAGACUUUUAUCUCGGUAUACUUAGACUUUCUGAGGGUUAAUCUUCUAAUAUAUUGUUAUUGAAUUUGAAAUAAGAAUGCAGUCAUGUGACUGAUACUCUUCAUCUCAGAGUAAAUGUCUUUAAGUUCCGGACUAUUUGAAUACAUGAUAGCCUUUCAUAUUGGAUGUCAUUUGGGUCAUCUUUUGUGGAAGAGUUAAUUUUCAUGGUUACCCUUAUAGUAUACCAUGUUAGGAUCUUGAUUUGUUUGGACCCUUAGGUGGGAUAUGCUCCUGUUUGGGUACAUUUCAGGUCAUUCCU